UUGACCUCGAAUCAGGUAGGAAUACCCGCUGAACUUAAGCAUAUCAAUAAGCGGAGGAAAAGAAACCAACAGGGAUUGCCCCAGUAACGGCGAGUGAAGCGGCAACAGCUCAAAUUUGAAAUCUGGCUCUCGGGCCCGAGUUGUAAUUUGUAGAGGAUGCUUUUGGUGAGGUGCCUUCCGAGUUCCCUGGAACGGGACGCCAUAGAGGGUGAGAGCCCCGUCUGGUUGGACGCCGAACCUCUGUAAAGCUCCUUCGACGAGUCGAGUAGUUUGGGAAUGCUGCUCUAAAUGGGAGGUAUAUGUCUUCUAAAGCUAAAUACCGGCCAGAGACCGAUAGCGCACAAGUAGAGUGAUCGAAAGAUGAAAAGAACUUUGAAAAGAGAGUUAAACAGUACGUGAAAUUGUUGAAAGGGAAGCGCUUGUGACCAGACUUGGGCUUGGUUGAUCAUCCGGGGUUCUCCCCGGUGCACUCUUCCGGCCCAGGCCAGCAUCAGUUCGCCCUGGGGGACAAAGGCUUCGGGAACGUGGCUCUCUCCGGGGAGUGUUAUAGCCCGUUGCGUAAUACCCUGUGGCGGACUGAGGUUCGCGC
rnacentral:rRNA from 42 species